rnacentral:rRNA from 1 species
CCUACGGGAGGCAGCAGUGGGGAAUAUUGCACAAUGGGGGAAACCCUGAUGCAGCGAAGCCGCGUGAGUGAAGACGUAUUUAGGUAUGUAAAGCCCUAUCAGCAGGGAAGCAACUGACGGUUUCUGAUUAAGAAGCCACGGCUAACUACGUGACAGCAGCCGCGGUAAUACGUAGGGGGCCAGCGUUAUCCGGAUUUACUGGGUGUAAAGGGAGCGUAGACGGCAGCACAAGUCUGGAGUGAAAUGCCGGGGCUGAACCCAGGAACUGCAUUGGAAAAUGUGCAGCGAGAGUGCAGGAGAGGUAAGUGGAAUUCCUAGUGUAGCGGUGAAAUGCGUAGAUAUUAGGAAGAACACCAGUGGCGAAGGCGGCUUACUGGACUGUAACUGACGUUGAGGCUCGAAAGCGUGGGGAGCAAACAGGAUUAGAUACCCGAGUAGUC